CAAAAAUGAGUGAUAUGCCAUUCAUCUGCAGCUGUUCCAAGUGAUGUGUCUUUUAACAGUCUAAUAUACUUAAAAGGUGACAUAUCGCUUCAGAUACUAGUAUUUCACAUUGGUGUAUAGUCUCAUUGGUCACCCAACAU